GGAUGUAUCCUGUUAAGUCAGCCGCACUUAUUAAUGGACCUCUGCCGCAGGGACAGGGUUACAUCC
rfam:Daphnia pulex isolate STM2 chromosome 4